rnacentral:rRNA from 1 species
UCCUACGGGAGGCAGCAGUGGGGAAUAUUGCACAAUGGGCGCAAGCCUGAUGCAGCCAUGCCGCGUGUAUGAAGAAGGCCUUCGGGUUGUAAAGUACUUUCAGCGGGGAGGAAGGUGUUGUGGUUAACAACCGCAGCAAUUGACGUUACCCGCAGAAGAAGCACCGGCUAACUCCGUGCCAGCAGCCGCGGUAAUACGGAGGGUGCAAGCGUUAAUCGGAAUUACUGGGCGUAAAGCGCACGCAGGCGGUUUGUUAAGUCAGAUGUGAAAUCCCCGGGCUCAACCUGGGAACUGCAUUUGAAACUGGCAGGCUUGAGUCUCGUAGAGGGGGUAGAAUUCCAGGUGUAGCGGUGAAAUGCGUAGAGAUCUGGAGGAAUA